rnacentral:rRNA from 1 species
CCUACGGGAGGCAGCAGUGGGGGAUAUUGCACAAUGGGGGAAACUCUGAUGCAGCGACGCCGCGUGUAGGAAGACGGUCCUCUGGAUUGUAAACUACUGUCCCCAGGGACGAAGAUGACGGUACCUGGGGAGGAAGCUCCGGCUAACUACGAGCCAGCAGCCGCGGUAAUACGGAGGGAGCGAGCGUUGUCCGGAAUUACUGGGUGUAAAGGGAGCGUAGGCGGGGAUGCAAGUUGGGGGUUAAAUCUACCGGCUCAACUGGUCGUCGCACUCAAAACUGCAGCUCUUGAGUGAAGUAGAGGCAGGCGGAAUUCCUAGUGUAGCGGUGAAAUGCGUAGAUAUUAGGAGGAACACCAGUGGCGAAGGCGGCCUGCUGGGCUUUUACUGACGCUGAGGCUCGAAAGUGUGGGGAGCAAACAGGAUUAGAUACCCGAGUAGUC